GAUGAACGCUGGCGGCGUGCCUAAUACAUGCAAGUCGAGCGAACGGACGAGAAGCUUGCUUCUCUGAUGUUAGCGGCGGACGGGUGAGUAACACGUGGAUAACCUACCUAUAAGACUGGGAUAACUUCGGGAAACCGGAGCUAAUACCGGAUAAUAUUUUGAACCGCAUGGUUCAAAAGUAAAAGACGGUCUUGCUGUCACUUAUAGAUGGAUCCGCGCUGCAUUAGCUAGUUGGUAAGGUAACGGCUUACCAAGGCAACGAUGCAUAGCCGACCUGAGAGGGUGAUCGGCCACACUGGAACUGAGACACGGUCCAGACUCCUACGGGAGGCAGCAGUAGGGAAUCUUCCGCAAUGGGCGAAAGCCUGACGGAGCAACGCCGCGUGAGUGAUGAAGGUCUUCGGAUCGUAAAACUCUGUUAUUAGGGAAGAACAUAUGUGUAAGUAACUGUGCACAUCUUGACGGUACCUAAUCAGAAAGCCACGGCUAACUACGUGCCAGCAGCCGCGGUAAUACGUAGGUGGCAAGCGUUAUCCGGAAUUAUUGGGCGUAAAGCGCGCGUAGGCGGUUUUUUAAGUCUGAUGUGAAAGCCCACGGCUCAACCGUGGAGGGUCAUUGGAAACUGGAAAACUUGAGUGCAGAAGAGGAAAGUGGAUUCCCAUGUGUAGCGGUGAAAUGCGCAGAGAUAUGGAGGAACACCAGUGGCGAAGGCGACUUUCUGGUCUGUAACUGACGCUGAUGUGCGAAAGCGUGGGGAUCAAACAGGAUUAGAUACCCUGGUAGUCCACGCCGUAAACGAUGAGUGCUAAGUGUUAGGGGGUUUCCGCCCCUUAGUGCUGCAGCUAACGCAUUAAGCACUCCGCCUGGGGAGUACGACCGCAAGGUUGAAACUCAAAGGAAUUGACGGGGACCCGCACAAGCGGUGGAGCAUGUGGUUUAAUUCGAAGCAACGCGAAGAACCUUACCAAAUCUUGACAUCCUUUGACAACUCUAGAGAUAGAGCCUUCCCCUUCGGGGGACAAAGUGACAGGUGGUGCAUGGUUGUCGUCAGCUCGUGUCGUGAGAUGUUGGGUUAAGUCCCGCAACGAGCGCAACCCUUAAGCUUAGUUGCCAUCAUUAAGUUGGGCACUCUAAGUUGACUGCCGGUGACAAACCGGAGGAAGGUGGGGAUGACGUCAAAUCAUCAUGCCCCUUAUGAUUUGGGCUACACACGUGCUACAAUGGACAAUACAAAGGGCAGCGAAACCGCGAGGUCAAGCAAAUCCCAUAAAGUUGUUCUCAGUUCGGAUUGUAGUCUGCAACUCGACUACAUGAAGCUGGAAUCGCUAGUAAUCGUAGAUCAGCAUGCUACGGUGAAUACGUUCCCGGGUCU
rnacentral:rRNA from 1 species